rnacentral:rRNA from 1 species
CCUACGGGUGGCAGCAGUGAGGAAUAUUGGUCAAUGGGCGAGAGCCUGAACCAGCCAAGUCGCGUGAGGGAGUACUGCCCUAUGGGUUGUAAACCUCUUUUGUCGGGGAGCAAAAGCCGGACGUGUCCGGCUGUGAGAGUACCCGAAGAAAAAGCAUCGGCUAACUCCGUGUCAGCAGCCGCGGUAAUACGGAGGAUGCGAGCGUUAUCCGGAUUUAUUGGGUUUAAAGGGUGCGCAGGCGGAUUUUUAAGUCAGCGGUAAAAUCGUGGGGCUCAACCCCAUCCAGCCGUUGAAACUGGGGAUCUAGAGUGUGCGAGAGGUAUGCGGAAUGCGAGGUGUAGCGGUGAAAUGCAUAGAUAUCACGCAGAACCCCGAUUGCGAAGGCAGCAUACCGGUGCACAACUGACGCUCAGGCACGAAAGCGUGGGUAUCGAACAGGAUUAGAUACCCGGGUAGUC